GACAGAGGUUGCAAACGUUGUUCGGAAUCACUGGGCAUAAAGCGCACGUAGGCGGUCUGUUAAGUCAGGUGUGAAAGCCCCCGGCUCAACCGGGGAACAGCAUUUGAUACUGGCAGACUCGAGGAUGGUAGGGGUGAGUGGAACUCCAGGUGGAGCGGUGAAAUGCGUAGAUAUCUGGAGGAACACCGGUGGCGAAAGCGGCUCACUGGACCAUCACUGACGCUGAGGUGCGAAAGCUAGGGUAGCAAACAGG
rnacentral:rRNA from 1 species